rnacentral:rRNA from 1 species
CGGUAUACGAGGAUCCCAGCGUUAUCCGGAUUUAUUGGGUUUAAAGGGUGCGUAGGUGGCCUAUUAAGUNNAGGGGUGAAAGACGGUAGCUUAACUAUCGCAGUGCCUUUGAUACUGAUGGGCUUGAAUACACUUGAGGUAGGCGGAAUGUGACAAGUAGCGGUGAAAUGCAUAGAUAUGUCACAGAACACCAAUUGCGAAGGCAGCUUACUAAAGUGUUAUUGACACUGAGGCACGAAAGCGUGGGGAUCAAACAGGAUUAGAUACCCUGGUAGUCCACGCCCUAAACGAUGAAUACUCGAUGUUGGCGAUAUACGGUCAGCGUCUAAGCGAAAGCGUUAAGUAUUCCACCUGGGGAGUACGCCCGCAAGGGUGAAACUCAAAGGAAUUGACGGGGGCCCGCACAAGCGGAGGAGCAUGUGGUUUAAUUCGAUGAUACGCGAGGAACCUUACCCGGGCUUGAAAGUUAGUGAAUGUGACAGAGACGUCACAGUCCUUCGGGACACGAAACUAGGUGCUGCAUGGCUGUCGUCAGCUCGUGCCGUGAGGUGUUGGGUUAAGUCCCGCAACGAGCGCAACCCCUAUGUUUAGUUGCCAGCAUGUAAUGAUGGGGACUCUAAACAGACUGCCUAUGCAAAUAGAGAGGAAGGAGGGGACGACGUCAAGUCAUCAUGGCCCUUACGUCCGGGGCUACACACGUGCUACAAUGGAUGGUACAGCGGGCAGCUACCUGGCAACAGGAUGCCAAUCUCGUAAAGCCAUUCACAGUUCGGAUCGGGGUCUGCAACUCGACCCCGUGAAGUUGGAUUCGCUAGUAAUCGCGUAUCAGCAAUGACGCGGUGAAUACGUUCCCGGGCCUUGUACACACCGCCCGUCAAGCCAUGGAAGCUGGAAGUACCUGAAGUCGUAACCGNCAANGAGCCGCUUAGGUAAAGUCGAA